CCCGCUGAACUUAAGCAUAUUAUUCAGCGGAGGAAAAGAAAACAACCGUGAUUCCCUCAGUCAGGGGCGACCGAACAGGGACCGGACCCGUUGCUGAAUCGGGCUCUCAAACGGGCUCGAGUUGUGGCAACAACGCUGAUUGUGGUUGGUGAGCGGACUGGUGAAAUCAAUGUGCAAAGCAGACCCGUUGCUGGACACAACCUCUCAUGUGAGUAUUGAGCCCUAGACCGGUGUUAGCCCGUUGAGCCAGAAACCGCAGCCUCAUGAAACAGCACCAAGCGAGUAGCACUGCUUGGGAGUGCAGUGUGAAGUGGCAGGUAUGUGUCUGCCAAGGUUAAAUAUAAAGUAGGAAGACCGAUAGCGAACAAGUAGCGUGAGCGAAAGUUUGAAAAGCACUUUGGAAAGAGAGUGACAUAGAACCUGAAGUCGUGACAACGACAAGGGACGUACCUCCAUUUCAUUUUUCGGUCAGGGCCGACCACCUAAGCAUUAUCUCGCGCGUACUUCUAAAGGACGCGCGGGCAAACAAAGUGCAGAAGAGGGGUACCGGCAAAGCGAGCGGAAGUAAAGGGCGCGGCGACCGGCGUGGCGAGUGUGAAAAGCUCGUCUGCGUCGUGAGCCGCCUCUUUUCCGUGAUGCUCAAACACUUGACGCUGGAAAUGGGGUGCCUCCACCCGUCUUGAAACACGG
rnacentral:rRNA from 1 species